AGCCUGAUGCAGCCAUGCCGCGUGUGUGAAGAAGGCCUUCGGGUUGUAAAGCACUUUCAGUCGUGAGGAAGGUAGUGUAGUUAAUAGCACCAUCAUUUGACGUUAGCGACAGAAGAAGCACCGGCUAACUCCGUGCCAGCAGCCGCGGUAAUACGGAGGGUGCGAGCGUUAAUCGGAAUUACUGGGCGUAAAGCGCAUGCAGGUGGUUUGUUAAGUCAGAUGUGAAAGCCCGGGGCUCAACCUCGGAAUAGCAUUUGAAACUGGCAGACUAGAGUACUGUAGAGGGGGGUAGAAUUUCAGGUGUAGCGGUGAAAUGCGUAGAGAUCUGAAGGAAUACCGGUGGCGAAGGCGGCCCCCUGGACAGAUACUGACACUCAGAUGCGAAAGCGUGGGGAGCAAACAGGAUUAGAUACCCUGGUAGUCCACGCCGUAAACGAUGUCUACUUGGAGGUUGUGGCCUUGAGCCGUGGCUUUCGGAGCUAACGCGUUAAGUAGACCGCCUGG
rnacentral:rRNA from 3 species